GGAACACUAUACACUGAAAGAAGUCACAGUCAUAUGCAACAUCACACCUCAAAUACCUCAGCCAGCUGUGAAGUGAAAGCAGAAAAAAAUCCCUCUGAACAAAGCUUUCUAAAGAAGCACUACAAGUAUGAAGAGACAGAGGGGAAAGCACUUGAGCCCUUGCAGUAUGGCAAGCUGUUUCACCAGACCGGAUGCUGGAGUUCAAGCCGGCUGGGAUCAUCCCUGGGAUUCAGCUUUUUGACUAACGGAGGGAAGCAGACAGUUGCUGUCAAGAGGUGCAGGCAGGUACCUCAUCUUCUUCAGACAGAAUUAAUCUGCGAGGCCCAUGCUGGGGCAUGUUCCUCAGCAGGACCCGUUGGAUAUGAAGAAACACCCUUUCACAGUGUCCUCUUUUCUUUGAUAGAGAAUGUAUCACUAAGGGAACACCAGUUCUGGAGAAGUCAGUAAACAGCAAUGUGUUUCUUUACAGUCAUUGUGAACAUUUAUGUAAUACAGAUUGCGUAGACAACAUUUUCAGGUGUUGGAGAAAUACAGAGAUGUCUCUGAUGAAAGUUUUUCCUGCUUUCCACCAGUUUCUUGUAACUAAUGGGGUUUGUACCUAAUUUCUCGAUGACUGCCUGGGUCCCUGUCAGUCCCUUUCUGAAAAUGCCCAGUUGUUACACAGCUGGUUGAGUAUGUAGUUAUGGGGCUUAGUUAAGUCUAUGUAGCUGGUGAAAUCCAUCUCAGAAGAAAAUAUUAUCAUUGAAAUCUUCAGUGCUAUAUAAGCAAAGUGGACAUCCAAACCUCCUGAAAAAUUUUGGCAGUUUCCACUGACACUUAAACAAUAAAAUUGUAUGUUUGUAACA
rnacentral:lncRNA from 1 species